UUUUUUUUUUUUUUUUUGCUGAGUGGCAUCUGCUUCUGACUCAUGGCAUAUCCUCUCUGGGAAGGACAGAGCCUAACACCAGCAAGAUAGUGAGUUCUCCUUGUGGAUGAACCCCCCAUGUUUUAUGUGUUAUGUCUUCUCUGGUUGCAUUAGCCAAUGUUGGUAACAUUUGAAGCUUAAAAGGAUGAUAUUUGAAAAAUUUUGGGCCAGGCACGAUGACUCACACCUGUAAUCCCGGCACUUUGGGAAGCUGAGGCAAGGGGAUUGCUUGAGGAGUUCAAGACCAGCCUGGGCAGCACAGCAAGACCCCAUCUAUUAAAAAAAAAUUAGGCCGCGCACGGUGGCUCAAGCCUGUAAUCCCAGCACUUUGGGAGGCCGAGACGGGCGGAUCACGAGGUCAGGAGAUCGAGACCAUCCUGGCUAACACGGUGAAACCCGUCUCUAAAAUACAAAAAAAAAACUAGCAGUGGGUGGGGCCUGUAGUCCCAGCUACUCAGGAGGCUGAGGCAGGAGAAUGGCGUGAACCCGGGAGGCGGAGCUUGCAGUGAGCCGAGAUCUGGCCACCGCACUCCAGCCUGGGUGACAGAGCAAGACUCCGCCUCAAAAAAAAAAAAAAAAAAAUUAGAAAAGUUAGCCAGGUGUGGUGGCACACACCUGUAGUCCCAGCAACUCAGAGGCUGAGGUAGGAGGAGCACUUGAGUCCACGCAUUCGAGGUUACAGUGAGCUAUGAUCGCACCCCUGUACUCCAGCCUGGGCAAUAGAAUGAUACCCUGUCUCUUAAAAAAUAAUAAUAAUUCUGUUGCCCGGCUGGAGUGUAGUGCUUUUCUCUUUUGCCUUGAUGGGUACAUGAUCUUCAUCUUCAUUGGCCUGAGGCAUGCAUCUCUGCUUAAAGAGAAACCGGGAUUAAUGUUUGAUAUAGACAGAAUGCACAGAAGAAAAAAUGUGGUGAUGUUUGGCAUUUGACAUGCAAAAUAGGAUUAUGCUGCAGAUCAAAAGUCUUCUAAAGCAGGCUCUUCUCUUGAGAGCAUGUUUCCUGGAUUCUCUCAUCCCUCUCCUUGGGUGUGGCCCUGGAGUUUUAUGUAAUGGAUGACUGAGCAAGAAGAGGAAGAGUGUUGGUCCCCUCCUUCCUGCCCAGGGGAUGGUACGAAGGGGAUUAGAAGGAUAACAAACAAGCAGAGCCAAGCACUGGCCCACUCACCCCUCCCCGAGAGAAAGAAGCCCUUGUCCCCAACUCACACUGGAACUCUGGGAAGAAGUGGCAUCCCAGGCAGCUGCAAACUAACCCGGCCUCUGCCUCCAGCACCAGGGCUCCCCGGUAAGGGAGAGGCACCACUGAAGGUCAGCUUUCAAAGCCAACUUCCAUUCCUGUGAGCCCGCAGCCCUGCCGGGGCCACGGUGGCACAGCUAGGAGGAGGGGCCCAGGUGCCGGAGGGCGGGCCAGCCAGGGGCGCCACAGGGGCUCUAGUCAGAUCAGGAGGGACUGCACCAUGAGUUUCAUAAACUCAGCUUCUAGUAUGAUCAGUGUCCCCAGAAGGAGACCUUGCUGGGUCCAGAGGACACCACAGCCCAGGAUCCCAACUCAUGCCUCCUACCAGAUGCCAGACAAGCUGCCCUUGUCUGUCUACAACACCCCAACAGCACCACACUGGGAGAAGCUGGGGAAAGCAGUCUGAGAACUAAGCAUUUUAUCCAAGAGAAAUUAAUAAGAUCACUUAACAAGACCGGCUAAACUCUCUGGCCCCAGGUGGUUUAAAUCAAGUUGAAAAUUUCAUUGCUUUUCUCACUUAUCAUCAGGCAGGGGUUGGAAGAAAAGCCAGAUUCAUUAUAGACUCAUAAAUAAGGAAAUUACCUUUUUUCUGCACAAAUAAAUUACAGAGUGAAUUAAGUUUUCAACCCUGUUGCACACACAAAAAUAGAGGAGUUCCUGCUGUCCCACUGCAAUGCCGGCUGACUUUUCCAACCAAAGACAAGGGUCCAAGCCUUCUGGAUCCCCAGUUCCCUCCUCCAGGUGGUGGGGAACACAGCUGUGGCAGAGAGAGGUAAGGUCCCCCUUGAGCCUGAGUGGUCACAUUAGCCCUCUUGGGCUCACGCUCCAGGUCCUGCCCUCCUGGCUUACCUGUGUGUUUUUUUUUUUUGAGGGGAGGAAUGAGGUUUUCAUUCUCUUUCCAGGCCCUUCCCAUUCAGGGCAUUUCAGAUCCCUCCUUCUCCUGACCCCUGAAUUGAAUUGGGUGAAGAAUGGUCCCCUGCCCUACACGCUGCAUGUCUGGGAGAGGCCGGAGGUGGAGCCGGCACAUGCAAAAGCAAUGCUGCCACCUGCUGGCGCCACGAAGAGACACAGCCCAGGUGGGCAACCAAACCCCAUUAGGCCUGGAGGAACUGCACCAGGAUGUCUUGCAGCUGAAUGGUUUCUUUUUCCAAUGCAGCUUCUCACCUCUUCCUUCAUUUAGUCAUCCAGUAUGCUGGCUGGAACAAGAACAUCAUCCCAUUUUAUGGACGAGACAACUGACACCCACGAAAGGGCAGAAUGCUGAUGAGCUCACAUGUGUGGGGAUGGCUUGAAGGCAACCCUUAGUCUCCUGCCUCCCAGCCAACAGCUGUGUCCCCUCCUCAGUGCUCAGAUGAGGUGUCCCAGAAAUCGAGGGACCCCUAUGAACAAGGUUUACAGGGCCAUCCCCAACAUCCAGGGAGGCAGAGUGAGGGAGGAGGGCACCAGGCAGUAAUGCCCACUCUGCAGCUGGCUCAAGGCCUGAUACACGUGUACAGCAACUCCGUUUCCCAAGGGUUCACAUACCUUCCGCACAGAUUUUGUAUUUUUUGUAGAGAAGUGGGUUUGUCCUGUUGCCCAGGCUGGUCUCGAACCCCUCGGCACAAGUGUGAUGUUGCUUUUCGAUAAGGAUCUAGAAGAGCCGAGUCCUGGCCUAGGCCCGUAAAUGAGUCGUAACCUACAAAACAGACGGUGAAAGAGGCAAGAAUCAUUUUCCCAAAUGGCAACUGCAGGCGGAGUAUGUGGGGGGACCUCACAGAGAUGUGUGGUCAGCAGGUGUGUGAUGACCGGGACGCAUCCUCUCCCGCUGGGUGCUCAGCACCCAACUCUCUCAUUUGCUCCUGGCUCUUCCAGCCCAGGCCUUCACUUGGCAGAAACAGCCUGGAGGACAGAAAAAGUGUCUCCUCUCUGCCCGAGACCCCUCCCACCUGCACAGACCAUGGGGGAGCAGCUCUUCCCUUUUCCCGGCGUAGGAGAUGACUGGGCCGGUGGGAAAUCCCAUUAUUCCUCGGCAGCGGUCCAUGUCC
ensembl:lncRNA